GAAAUAAAACGGGGGUGCUGUCGAAAGGACGGCUGAGACGCGCGGUGCGCGAACCCUUUCACCUGAUACGGAUAAUGCCGGCGUAGGUAGAAAAUGCGGGGAGACC
rfam:Clostridium sp. CAG:448 genomic scaffold, scf174